rnacentral:rRNA from 1 species
AGAGUUUGAUNNUGGCUCAGGAUGAACGCUGGCGGCGUGCCUAAUACAUGCAAGUCGAGCGAACAGACGAGGAGCUUGCUCCUUUGACGUUAGCGGCGGACGGGUGAGUAACACGUGGGUAACCUACCUAUAAGACUGGGAUAACUUCGGGAAACCGGAGCUAAUACCGGAUAAUAUUUCGAACCGCAUGGUUCGAUAGUGAAAGAUGGCUUUGCUAUCACUUAUAGAUGGACCUGCGCCGUAUUAGCUAGUUGGUAAGGUAACGGCUUACCAAGGCAACGAUACGUAGCCGACCUGAGAGGGUGAUCGGCCACACUGGAACUGAGACACGGUCCAGACUCGUACCAGUCUACGGGAGGCAGCAGUAGGGAAUCUUCCGCAAUGGGCGAAAGCCUGACGGAGCAACGCCGCGUGAGUGAUGAAGGUCUUCGGAUCGUAAAACUCUGUUAUUAGGGAAGAACAAACGUGUAAGUAACUGUGCACGUCUUGACGGUACCUAAUCAGAAAGCCACGGCUAACUACGUGCCAGCAGCCGCGGUAAUACGUAGGUGGCAAGCGUUAUCCGGAAUUAUUGGGCGUAAAGCGCGCGUAGGCGGUUUUUUAAGUCUGAUGUGAAAGCCCACGGCUCAACCGUGGAGGGUCAUUGGAAACUGGAAAACUUGAGUGCAGAAGAGGAAAGUGGAAUUCCAUGUGUAGCGGUGAAAUGCGGCAUU